AGUGAACGCUGGCGGUAGGCCUAACACAUGCAAGUCGAACGGCAGCACAGUAAGAGCUUGCUCUUACGGGUGGCGAGUGGCGGACGGGUGAGGAAUACAUCGGAAUCUACUUUUUCGUGGGGGAUAACGUAGGGAAACUUACGCUAAUACCGCAUACGACCUACGGGUGAAAGCAGGGGAUCUUCGGACCUUGCGCGAUUGAAUGAGCCGAUGUCGGAUUAGCUAGUUGGCGGGGUAAAGGCCCACCAAGGCGACGAUCCGUAGCUGGUCUGAGAGGAUGAUCAGCCACACUGGAACUGAGACACGGUCCAGACUCCUACGGGUGGCAGCAGUGGGGAAUAUUGGACAAUGGGCGCAAGCCUGAUCCAGCCAUACCGCGUGGGUGAAGAAGGCCUUCGGGUUGUAAAGCCCUUUUGUUGGGAAAGAAAAGCAGCAGGUUAAUACCCCGCUGUUCUGACGGUACCCAAAGAAUAAGCACCGGCUAACUUCGUG
rnacentral:rRNA from 1 species